rnacentral:rRNA from 1 species
GGACGAACGCUGGCGGCGUGCUUAACACCUGCAAGUCGAACGGAAAGGCCCUGCUUUUGUGGGGUGCUCGAGUGGCGAACGGGUGAGUAACACGUGAGUAACCUGCCCUUGACUUUGGGAUAACUUCAGGAAACUGGGGCUAAUACCGGAUAGGAGCUCCUGCUGCAUGGUGGGGGUUUGAAAGUUUCGGCGGUUGGGGAUGGACUCGCGGCUUAUCAGCUUGUUGGUGGGGUAGUGGCUUACCAAGGCUUUGACGGGUAGCCGGCCUGAGAGGGUGACCGGCCACAUUGGGACUGAGAUACGGCCCAGACUCCUACGGGAGGCAGCAGUGGGGAAUAUUGCACAAUGGGCGGAAGCCUGAUGCAGCAACGCCGCGUGCGGGAUGACGGCCUUCGGGUUGUAAACCGCUUUCGCCUGUGACGAAGCGUGAGUGACGGUAAUGGGUAAAGAAGCACCGGCUAACUACGUG